rnacentral:rRNA from 1 species
UCAGAGGGCGUGAACCGCGCAGAAGGAAACGGGUGGAGCCGAUCAGUGCUGUGUUGUUCAGCCGGUUUCUUGGCUCGUCGGUCUGCACGUCGAUCUUUGGACGGCGUGCUUCUGGCUUGUCUUGCAUACGGUCUAUUCGAUGCGGCAGUGCUGAGACCUGUGGUGCCACGGGAAGAACCGUCUUUAGAGCACUCGCCUUCGGGUGGGAGCGCUGGAGGCGGGGAAGUCUGUUGGUGCUACAGGGACGGUGGUCUGGUCUGUGUGGCCGAUGAAUGGCGCCUCGGUGUCGGGGUUCGAAUGAUGUAGUGAGCUUGCUCGCUGCGUCGACCGGCCCCGGCCCCUCGGGGCGUGCUUCAAAGACUGCCGCUCGGUGUCAAAGUCGGCGGCCUACCCGACCCGUCUUGAAACACGGACCAAGGAGUCUAACAUGUGCGCGAGUUUGAGAGUGGCGAAAAACUCGACGGCGCAAUGAAGGUGAAGGUCGAUCAAUCGGCCGAUAUGCGAUCCCCCACAAAGGGAGCAGCAUAGUCCGGCCGCGUCCGCCAGUCGGUGCGGCCGAGACGGAGCGUACACGUUGGGACCCGAAAGAUGGUGAACUAUGCCUGAGCAGGACGAAGCCAGAGGAAACUCUGGUGGAGGUCCGAAACGAUUCUGACGUGCAAAUCGAUCGUCAGACUUUGGUAUAGGGGGAAA